UAGACUCGUCAGGCGCAAGGCGCGCAGU
rnacentral:sRNA from 1 species